rnacentral:misc_RNA from 1 species
GAUGAAGAAUGUAGCGAAAUGCGAUAAGUGAUGUGAAUUGCAGAAUUCAGUGAAUCAUCGAAUCUUUGAACGCACAUUGCGCCCCCUGGUAUUCCGGGGGGCAUGCCUGUUCGAGCGUCAUUACAACCCUCAAGCUCUGCUUGGUAUUGGGCCCCGCCAGUUCUGGCGGGCCCUAAAGUCAGUGGCGGUGCCUUCCGGCUCCGAGCGUAGUAAUUCUUCUCGCUCUGGAGACCCGGUUGUGUGCUUGCCAACAACCCCCAAUUUUUUAAGGUUGACCUCGGAUCAGGUAGGGAUACCCGCUGAACUUAAGCAUAUCAAUAAGCGGAGGA